rnacentral:rRNA from 1 species
GACGAACGCUGGCGGCGUGCUUAACACAUGCAAGUCGAACGGAAAGGCCCCCAUCUUGGUGGGGGUGCUCGAGUGGCGAACGGGUGAGUAACACGUGGGUGAUCUGCCCUGUACUUCGGGAUAAGCUUGGGAAACUGGGUCUAAUACCGGAUAGGACCAUGGUUUAGUGUCUCAUGGUGGAAAGAUUAUUGUUUUGGUGCAGGAUGAGCUCGCGGCCUAUCAGCUUGUUGGUGGGGUAAUGGCCUACCAAGGCGUCGACGGGUAGCCGGCCUGAGAGGGUGGACGGCCACAUUGGGACUGGGAUACGGCCCAGACUCCUACGGGAGGCAGCAGUGGGGAAUAUUGCAAAAUGGGAGCAAGCCUGAUGCAGCGACGCCGCAUGGGGGAUGACGGCCUUCGGGUUGUAAACUCCUUUCGUUAGGGACGAAGCCGCACUUUUUUUGGGUGUGGUGACGGUACCUUUGUUAAGAAGCACCGGCUAACUACGUG